rnacentral:rRNA from 1 species
ACGCUCGACACCUACGGGAGCAGCAGUGGGGAAUAUUGCACAAUGGGGGAAACCCUGAUGCAGCGACGCCGCGUGAAGGAAGAAGUAUCUCGGUAUGUAAACUUCUAUCAGCAGGGAAGAAAAUGACGGUACCUGACUAAGAAGCCCCGGCUAACUACGUGCCAGUAGCCGCCGGUAAGUACUGAGCGGGCGUGGCGAAGGACG